CCAACUUGGGUGUCUUCACCUGCCAGGGUCAAGGACAAGGAUUGAAACGGGUGGGGCCUGGAGCCCUAGCCAAUCAGUGGCGCUAGCGUGAAACUGUCCAAUCAAGUGCGCAGCUACAGAGGAAGAGGCGGCCUCUUCAAUACGGCGGGGCCUUUGUCUCCUAGCUUCCGGGCUCUGAUCCUAGUUCGCGUCUCCACUGUUCCAUCUCCUCCGUUCCUGGAGUUCCUCGGUGACUCUACCAUAGUUUCUGUUAUCCUGUGACCUGCAGGUACUGGGAGAUCCAUAGGGAGGACGGCGGAACAUCUGGAGGCUGGGAAAUGGGAGUGUUGACAUUCAGGGAUGUGGCUGUAGAAUUCUCCCCAGAAGAGUGGGAAUGCCUGGACUCUGCUCAGCAGCGUUUGUAUAGGGAUGUGAUGUUAGAGAACUAUGGAAACCUGGUCUCCUUGGGUCUUGCUAUCUUUAAGCCAGACUUGAUGACCUGUCUGGAGCAAAGAAAAGAGCCUUGGAAAGUGAAGAGACAGGAGGCAGUAGCCAAACACCCAGCAAUGACAUGAAAUCACUCUAGUUGCCCAUCAGUGGUGGAUUGGAUAAAGAAUAUGUGGUACCUAUAUACACAUUGAAAUACUACACAGCCAA
rnacentral:lncRNA from 1 species